rnacentral:misc_RNA from 1 species
AGGCUCUAGAUGCGACGUGAGUGUUGAUCGUUUCGGGACGAUCGAGUGGGCCGGAUUAUUCAGAAAUCGUGAUGGUGCAGACGUACCAGUCACCCGUACGGGUGUAUAAAUACCCUUUCGAACUUGUCAUGGCGGCAUACGAGAAGCGAUUUCCCACCUGUAAAAUGAUUCCAGUGUUCCUCGGCUGUGAGAUCAUUUCAGAGCAAAAGUCGGAGGAUGGAGCUGAACAUGUGGUGGAGCGCAGAUGUAAACUUAGUGUGGAUGCUCCCUACAUACUGAAAAAGAUCAUGGGCGUCGAUCAUGUGUACUUCAUUCAGAAGAAUGCCCUAGACAGUCGCAACCGCGUCCUCAAAAUAGAUGCCCACAAUGAGAGUUUCUCCUCGAGGAUUAUAAUCAACGAACACUGUCAAUACUCUGUACACUCCGAGAAUCCUGACUGGACCUGUUUUGAACAGAGUGCAACCUUAGACAUCAAACAUUUCUUCAACUUUGAAAGCAUGGUUGAGAAGAUAGCCAUGAAACAGUAUGCUGCCAAUAUAAAGAAGGGUAAGGAAGUGAUAGAGUACUACAUCAAUGAGAUUCUGAGUUCUGGUGUUCCCUACACACCUCGAUGGCAGCCCCCAGAGACUGCAGCCAUGGAUAUCAAGACAGAUGACACACCGUCCCAGGACAGUGGCUUGAGGAGCCGUUCCAAUAGUGCUCACAGCCAUAGCAGUCAGUCCAGUCUGGUACUGGGGGCUACUGCUGCAACUAUAUGUACUGACAAACUCCCUAUUAACCCAGAGGGUUUGUCUACCCCUGACAAGACUGGGAAGCUGGAGGAUGUGUAUAUUGAGCGUUUCCUUGGCUCCCUGACUCCGGUACAGGAAAGCAGACUAGUACAGCUACGACAGUGGCUACAGGAAACUCACAAAGGAAAGAUACCAAGAGAUGCUCACAUUCUGCGGUUUCUAAGAGCACGUGACUUCAGUCUAGACAAGUCACGUGACAUGCUGGUGCACUCUCUAGCCUGGAGAAAGCUCCACAAUAUUGAUCAUCUACUGGAGACAUACCGACCCGGAGACGUCAUGAACCAAUACUACAGUGGGGGUUGGCACUACAACGACAAAGAUGGACGGCCGCUGUAUGUCCUCAAACUUGGGCAAAUGGAUGUGAAGGGUCUGAUGAAAUCUGUUGGGGAGGAGGUUCUCCUGAAACAUGUUUUGUAUGUGAAUGAAGAGGGGUUGCGUAGAGCAGGAGAUGCCACUCGAUCGCGAGGUUUCCCUGUGAGUGCCUGUACCUGUAUUGUUGACCUGGACGGCCUCAGUAUGCGACACCUAUGGAGACCAGGGAUACGGGCCCUGCUCAGGAUCAUAGAGAUGGUGGAGGCUAACUAUCCAGAUACGAUGGGGCGCCUCCUCAUUGUGCGUGCCCCAAGGGUGUUCCCUGUGCUCUGGACCCUUGUCAGUCCCUUUAUUGAUGAAGACACCAGGCAGAAGUUCAUGAUUUAUGGAGGAAAUGACUAUCAGGGACCUGGAGGGCUCAUUGAUUUCAUAGACAAGAAAUACAUACCUGACUUCCUGGGUGGAGACUGUUUUUGUGAUGUACCAGAAGGAGGGUUGGUGCCUAAGUCCCUCUACAAGGAGGAGUUCACAGAAAAGGCCCCAGAGGGCCCGCCCCUCAGUACAGAUAGUUUGUACCAGACCUGCCAUAUUGUCAAAGACUUUCCAAAUGAGGUGUUGAUAUGCGUCCCACAGAAGGGAUCCGUGAUUACAUGGGACUUUGACAUUUUAAAGGGUGAUGUGACCUUCACCGUGCUAAGGUGUAAACACGAGGUGUCGGGAGACCCCCUACACCAACACCACAUCAGUGGGGCCUUGGGUGGCAUUGGCUCCACACAAUACAUCGACAAAACCAUGCAAGUGGGCAUGGACCUGAGCAUUGUAGAGCCACCUCAUAUAUGUAGAGAUGGGGAUAGUGUUCAGGGAUCUCAUGUGACCAGUCAGGCAGGAAGUUACAUAUUACAGUGGAAGUACUUUGAUGCCGGGAAAGCUGUGUUUGACUUUCCACUGGCCACACACAAAUCCAAGGUCAUGUAUUACACAGAGCUACUGGAGUCUGCAGCCUUUAGAGGGUCAAUGACCAGCUUGCAGUCCAGUCACAGUGCAUUCUCCUCCCUUAGCAUUGGCACGUCACAGAGCAGUCUUUCCGCAGUCACACCCGACGGAAUCCACAGGCUAAAAAGGUGACAGAAGCUUGAAGAUUUUGAUGGAGAGUAAAGUUUUUCGGUAAGGGCUAGCUGAUUACCCUACCUAUAACACAGAGGGGACAAGUACCAGAGCUCUGAAUGUUAAGGAUGUGGCAUGUCUAGGAGUUGGUAGAAAGCUGUCUCAGUGGUUACUUGUGUUGGAUCAGAGAUCAUCAACACUGUUCCUACCUCAUCACACAGCCAGCUGACCAGGAUGUGCAGCAACAUUGGUCAGUGGUCAGACAUUGAACUGCCCAGUACAGGAAUCGGCAUUGGUCAGCUGGUGUUUAUUGUGUGUACCAUAUCUGACCAUCACAUCACAACGCCUCUUACACUGCAUUGUUUGUACAUUGUACAUUGUGAUAGUCAUUGUUAAAAAAACAGUGUUUCUGCUCCAUUCCAUACUUCUGUAAACUACACUCACUUCUCCAGUCCACCCAACUCAUGUAGUUAGGUAAAUAACACUUUUCUAGUCCACUCCACUCCCAUACCUAGUUAGGUAAAUAACACUUUUCUAGUCCACUCCACUCCCAUACCUAGUUAGGUAAAUAACACUAACUUCUCCAGUCCACCCUACUCAUAUACAGUCGAACUUCGUUAUCUCGAAGUCGACGGGGUCGUCGGAAACUUCGAGUUAUCCGAGUAUUCGAGUUAUGCGGGUUCAUAUAUUUGGUAUGAAAUUUGCUGUUUGGACAUGGCAUUAGCAGUCCUUGGUUUGUAUUUAUAGCCAAUGCUUAUAACCAAUUGAUAAAUGAUGUAUGUAAUCAAUUACAAUAUAACAAAUACAGCUAUGUUAUUUUACAAUAAACACGCUUACAAAAAAAAGUAGGGUAUUUCCGGGAAAAAAGUAUUUUCUUUUAGUGCGAUCAGAACGGUUGAACCAUUUUGUGAAUUCGUUACAAAAUAUGGACGAGCCUAGUGAUUAAAUGUUGUUUUUGGCGAGUCUUGGCAAAGUCUUUCUAGAUCUGCAUUUGUAUUUGCAACUCUGUCAAGUUUUAUCUCUGAAGUGUUACAUUUAAAAAUUGAACUAUUCCGCUGUCUCCAACCUCGUACUAUACAAUGCGGAAAUGAAAGUGUGCAAGUCUAAAACAAAUCACUAAUGAAGCGUACGCACAGUUGAUUCUUUAAAUGAAAACACACACAAACAGAUUCUUUCGUAUGUGUAACACAUUGAUUCGUUAAAGCUAAUUAUGACACCUGACACCUCCUCAAAUCGAUGUAAUCAACAGCAAUUAUCAUAUUGUUCUGAAAAUCUCUCAAUCGACUACCAAAGCUAUACUGGCCCCUGUAAAAACACGAACCCGUGAAGCUGUCCUAUGUUGUGAUUUAAACUGUUGAACUCUUUUAUGCAUGACCACGCUUUGUGACCAUUUUUCCGGUUUGGACUGUUUUAAGUUUCGUGGACUAAUCAUUAAACGGACUCCCAGGUAGUACAGAAUACGGUUGAUAAACAUUGAUGAAGUUUGUUUUCUAUUAUGAACAUCAUGGUUUUGACAGUCUGCACACUUUACGUUCUUAAGGUUUAUCAUUAAAUAUUUUUACUGAUUUCACAAAAGAUGUUCAUCAACACGGAAUGGUGACGUGCCUAAGUUUUGUUUUUUAUUUAUAUGAAAUUUGAACACUAUGAAGUAGACGAUGUUAUGAUGUUGGAUUUACGCUGUUGAAACAAAUCUUGCUUCGAGGUAUCCAAGUUUUUUCGUGUGUUUAGGCUUUGAAUUAUCAGAGUUUUAUUUACUAAGAUAAAGAAGGGAUUUGGCCGGGACCGGAGAAAUACUUCGAGAUAAACGGGAUCUUUGAGUUAUUAGAGUUCGAGAUAACGAGGUUCAACUGUACUUAGGUAAAUAACACUUUUCCAGUUCACUCCACUCCAACCUAAUUAGGUAAAUAACACUAACUUUUCCAGUCUGCUCCACUCCAUACCUAGUUAGGUAAAUAACACUUCCCCACUCCAUUCCACUCCAUACUUAGGUAAAUAACACUUCCCCGCUCCAGUCCACUCCAUACCUAGUUAGGUAAAUAACACUUCCCCACUUCAGUCCACUCCAUACUUAGGUAAAUAACACUUCCCCACUCCAGUCCACUCCAUACCUAGUUAGGUAAAUAACACUUCCCCACUCAAGUCCACUCCAUACCUAGUUAGGUAAAUAACACUUCCCCGCUCAAGUCCACUCCAUACCUAGUUAGGUAAAUAACACUUCCCCACUCCAGUCCACUCUAGCCUAUUAGGGUGAACAUCACUUGUCUAGUCCACUCCUCUUCCUAUUAAGGUAAGAAGUAUUCUUGUACACUAUUUCUGUAUGGUAACGUGCAGCAGACUUGAUCAGUUGUUUUUAAGGCUACAUAUGACAAUUGCCAGGUAAUUGGUAUCUGGCAUGUAACACAAGUUGCCUACCACAAACUAGGCUCCCGUUUGUUUUGGGUAGAAAAUGUAGUGAGUUGUCUCCCAUUGCCCAUGUGAUAAAAUGUGUAUCUGUGAUACUGUAUGUCACGCGACUACGAUUUGGUGUAGGUUGUAUAUCAACUCUGUUCCAAAAGAUAUUUUUAUAGCAGUUUUUCCCUUCUUAGUAUGGUAUUUCUCUAAAUUCUUGAUCUGAUUCUGAUACUACAUGCUGAGUAUGGGGAACAAUUAGAGGACUUUAUUAUGAACAUAGUUCAAUUAAUCUAAAAAUCCUUUGUUUCACUUUUUGCUGAUUUAUCUGUUUUACAUAUUUAGGUUUUUGAUCAAAAAUAUACUGUUGAAAAUAAUGAGGGAAAAUGAGUUACAUCAAUGAUACAAAGACAAAAUGGACAUUUGUAAGACUUUGGAGGAGUUAACCAUACUGGGUGCUGGUCUUCACAGGAUCAUACAUAUUAUAUAAUUAGUUAUACAUGUUUUUAGUUAUUACAGAAACAGGAUUUAGAUUUAUUUUUAUGUUUUAUGCAAGUUAUUUUAAUGGUAUUUUGACUGAGAAUGCAAUGCCAUUUACAGUAGAUUUCAGUUUUGAUGCUUUGUGUCCAUACUGUAAUCUAUCUGUUGUGUCGCACACUGAGACAUGUUAUACACUCAAGUGUUUCUGAAAACGAAAAAGGAAAAGACAAAAAUAAUUGGCAACAGUUUAGAUAGUUUGUCUUUUGGAGGAUUUUUGAGAGAAAAAAAUACACCUGUAGCACUGAAGACCAAGAUAUUUAAAAUAAGAUAUAGGAAAGAAAUAAGGACUUUAUAGGUAUAAAUAAGGCAAUCCCAAACCAUGGCAUUACGGUGUCAUGACAUAUCUAAGACUGAGUUACCAGUUGUUCUAGCCAUAUUACUGCUGCUACGUGUAUUAACAACAUUGUCUACUAACUCUCAGAGGAAUCGUUCAUACUUAUAUGUAGUUUGAAUUGAUUUAUAACUUAUCAAAAUGAUUUUUAGGAGGAGAUUUAUCAAGCUUGCUUGUCUACUUGAGUAGGUACCACAAUGUACCAGACCUCAUUUUUAAAAAAACUUCCCAUAGAUAUCAUAUUUUUUUACAUUAUCAUAAAGAUUUGGUUGGGAGAGGGUACAGAGUACCAGGAUGUAUUAAGGGUAUGAUCUGAUAUAAAUUUUACAUCAUCGUGUAUUAAUCAUGUUUUAACAAUCAUGUUGUGUUUGUAAGGAUAUUUGUAUUAAGAAUUUUGAUGCACAUUUUGUAAUUGUGUUUUUGUAUCAUUUUAUUCAUUUGUUAAUGAUUUAGAAAAAUACAUUGUUUGCAAAUUGAUGUUGAAUGUCUAGAAGAAAGAGAAAUUGAAUAUUAUGUUUCUUGUAAAAGAAAUAGAUGUAAAGAUGCUAUAGAUGCUAUAGAUUAGAAGUUGUAAUCUAAUUGACUGCUCGUUAUCAAACCCUCAGUGUGUCGUACGGUUACUGGUUCUAGAAGUAUCUCACUGUCUUUAAGUGAAUACAAAUGUCAUGGUAUACAAAUAUUGAAGGUCAGUAUGCCACAUAAUUGCUCUUCCAUUUUUUGCAAUGUAACUUUAUAUAUUGUUACUUCAUCUAUGAAAUGGCACUUGAUAUUUAACAGGAGUUCACAUGCACUAGAUCUCCGAUAUGUGGAGCCUGAUCGACCACAGACAUGUGAACCACCAUUACUUUCGUGUAUUUUUGCGUUAUAUUUCCACACUUUGUCACACGAGUUAUCUCCCUUCAGACAUGAUAACUCGUUCAAUUAAAGAUUAUUUAGUGCAUUACUACUUGGCAUGUAGUUUCCAAGCCAUCACUACUUAAGCUGAGUUCUUACCAAAGUGGAGGUAGGUAGCUACACCUCCAAACUGAGUUUUAUAGCUAGUAUUAAGGUCUACUUCAGUGGAUAUGAAUAUAGUGUAAAAUCAUAGAUCAAAGAUAACAAAUCUCAACUCCUCAGAAGAGAAGUCAAGUACUUAAAUGAGUCAGGUAGCUACCAGUAUCAAAACCAAGGCGGGUAGAUGGUAGUGAGGCUUGAUUCAGGUAGGUGAUGUCAAAGCUGAGUCAGGUAGGUGAUAUCAAAGCUGAGUCAGGUAGCAGUUACUGAGUCUGGUAAUAUCAAAGCUGACUCAGGUAGCAGGUACUGAGUCUGGUGAUAUCAAAGCUAACUUAGAUAGCUUGCUUCAAAGCUGAGUCGGGUAGCAGGUACUGAGUCUGGUAAUAUCAAAGCUAACUUGGAUUGCUUGCUUCAAAGCUGAGUCAGGUAGCAGGUACUGAGUCUGGUAAUAUCAAAGCUAACUCAGAUAGCUUGCUUCAAAGCUGAGUCGGGUAGCAGGUACUGAGUCUGGUGAUAUCAAAGCUAACUUAGAUAGCUUGCUUCAAAGCUGACUCAGGUAGCAGGUACUGAGUCUGGUAAUAUCAAAGCUAACUUAUAACUUUAUAUAUAUAAAGAGUGCUCGGUAUUCCUCAGUGAUAUACCUAUAUAUAUAUAAAGAGUGCUCGGUAUUCCUCAGUGAUAUACCUAUAUAUGUAUGAAGAGUGCUCGGUAUUCCUCAGUGAUAUACCUAUAGAUAUAUGAAGAGUGCUCGGUAUUCCUCCGUAAUAUACCUAUAUAUAUAUAAAGAGUGCUCGGUAUUCCACAGUGAUAUACCUAUAUAUGUAUGAAGAGUGCUGGGUAU